GACGAACGCUGGCGGCGUGCUUAACACAUGCAAGUCGAACGGAAAGGCCCUGCUACUGUGGUUUGCUUGAGUGGCGAACGGGUAAGUAACAAGUAAGUAACCUGCCCUGGGCUUUGGGAUAACUUCAGGAAACUUGAUCUAAUACCGGAUAGGAGCCCCUGGUGCAUGUUGGGGGUUGGAAAGUUUCGGCGGUUGGGGAUGGACUCGCGGCUUAUCAGCUUGUUGGUGGGGUAGUGGCUUACCAAGGCUUUGACGGGUAGCCGGCCUGAGGGGGUGACCGGCCACAUUGGGACGGCGAUGACGCCCAGAAGACUACGGCGGGCAGCAGUGGGGAAUAUUGCACAGUGGGGGGAAGCAUGAUGCAGCAACGCCGCGUGCGGGAUGACGGCCGUCGGGUUGUAAACCGCUUUCGCCCGUGACGAAGAGUGAGUGACGGUAAUGGGUAAAGAAGCACCGGCUAACUACGUG
rnacentral:rRNA from 1 species